rnacentral:rRNA from 1 species
GACGAACGCUGGCGGCGUGCCUAAUACAUGCAAGUUGAGCGCUGAAGGUUGGUACUUGUACCAACUGGAUGAGCAGCGAACGGGUGAGUAACGCGUGGGGAAUCUGCCUUUGAGCGGGGGACAACAUUUGGAAACGAAUGCUAAUACCGCAUAAAAACUCUAAACACAAGUUUUAAGUUUGAAAGAUGCAAUUGCAUCACUCAAAGAUGAUCCCGCGUUGUAUUAGCUAGUUGGUGAGGUAAAGGCUCACCAAGGCGAUGAUACAUAGCCGACCUGAGAGGGUGAUCGGCCACAUUGGGACUGAGACACGGCCCAAACUCCUACGGGAGGCAGCAGUAGGGAAUCUUCGGCAAUGGACGAAAGUCUGACCGAGCAACGCCGCGUGAGUGAAGAAGGUUUUCGGAUCAUAAAACUCUGUUGGUAGAGAAGAACGUUGGUGAGAGUGGAAAGCUCAUCAAGUGACGGUAACUACCCAGAAAGGGACGGCUAACUACGUG